rnacentral:rRNA from 1 species
CCUACGGGGGGCUGCAGUGGGGGAUAUUGGACAAUGGGGGAAACCCUGAUCCAGCGACGCCGCGUGAGUGAAGAAGUAUUUCGGUAUGUAAAGCUCUGUCAGCAGGGAAGAAAGAAAUGACGGUACCUGACCAAGAAGCCUCGGCUAACUACGUGCCAGCAGCCGCGGUAAUACGUAGGGGGCAAGCGUUAUCCGGAAGUACGGGGUGUAAAGGGGGCGUAGACGGUGAUGCACGUCUGGAGUGAAAGGAGGGGGCCCAACCCCCGGACUGCUGUGGAAACUGGGUAACUUGAGUGCAGGAGAGGUAAGCGGAAGUCCUAGUGUAGCGGUGAAAUGCGUAGAUAUUAGGAGGAACACCAGUGGCGAAGGCGGCUUACUGGACUGUAACUGACGUUGAGGCUCGAAAGCGUGGGGAGCAAACAGGAUUAGAUACCCCGGUAGUC